UGCCAGCAGCCGCGGUAAUACGGAGGGGGUUAGCGUUGUUCGGAAUUACUGGGCGUAAAGCGCGCGUAGGCGGAUUGGAAAGUUGGGGGUGAAAUCCCGGGGCUCAACCCCGGAACUGCCUCCAAAACUGCCAGUCUAGAGUUCGAGAGAGGUGAGUGGAACUCCAAGUGUAGAGGUGAAAUUCGUAGAUAUUUGGAAGAACACCAGUGGCGAAGGCGGCUCACUGGCUCGAUACUGACGCUGAGACACGAAGGCUAGGGUAGCGAAAGGGAUUAGAUA
rnacentral:rRNA from 1 species